rnacentral:rRNA from 1 species
UACGUAGGGUCCGAGCGUUGUCCGGAAUUAUUGGGCGUAAAGGGCUCGUAGGCGGUCUGUCGCGUCGGGAGUGAAAACUUACAGCUUAACUGUGAGCGUGCUUCCGAUACGGGCAGACUUGAGGUAUUCAGGGGAGAACGGAAUUCCUGGUGUAGCGGUGAAAUGCGCAGAUAUCAGGAGGAACACCGGUGGCGAAGGCGGUUCUCUGGGAAUAUCCUGACGCUGAGGAGCGAAAGCGCGGGGAGCGAACAGG